rnacentral:rRNA from 1 species
UACGUAUGGAGCAAGCGUUAUCCGGAUUUACUGGGUGUAAAGGGAGCGCAGGCGGCGCGCCAAGUCUGGUGUGAAACCCCGGGGCUCAACCCCGGGACUGCAUUGGAAACUGGCGGGCUGGAGUGUCGGAGGGGCAGGCGGAAUUCCUGGUGUAGCGGUGAAAUGCGUAGAUAUCAGGAGGAACACCGGUGGCGAAGGCGGCCUGCUGGACGACAACUGACGCUGAGGCUCGAAAGCGUGGGGAGCAAACAGG